rnacentral:lncRNA from 1 species
GGAAACUGACCUUUAGAAAGAGAAGUCAGGAGAGCAGAUAUUUUUAUUCCUGUUGGACAAAUGAAAAAAAAUGAAGCAUGGAAGAGUUAAUUGAAUCACCUAAGAUUCCACACACACUGAACCUAUCCAGAAUUGUGAUUCAUGACUCACCAGAUCCUGUGGCCCCCCUAUCCAGGGGUGCACUCAGCACAUGAGGACGCCUGUGAUUCUGCCCCUAUGAGUUCAUCCCCAACCAGUCAGCAAUACCCAUUCCUUAACCCCCUGCCUGGCAAACUGUCUGGGAGACUGAUUUGAGUGAUAACUCCAAUUCUCUUGUGUGGGCCAGCCACAUAUCAAUAAAACUCUUUCUCUACUGCAAUGCCAUGGUCUCAGUGGAUUGAUUUUGUCUGUACACUGGGGCAGGAAGAACCCAUCAGGG